rnacentral:rRNA from 1 species
GAUGAACGCUGGCGGCGUGCCUAAUACAUGCAAGUCGAGCGAACGGACGAGAAGCUUGCUUUUCUGAUGUUAGCGGCGGACGGGUGAGUAACACGUGGAUAACCUACCUAUAAGACUGGGAUAACUUCGGGAAACCGGAGCUAAUACCGGAUAAUAUUCUGAACCGCAUGGUUCAAAAGUGAAAGACGGUCUUGCUGUCACUUAUAGAUGGAUCCGCGCUGCAUUAGCUAGUUGGUAAGGUAACGGCUUACCAAGGCAACGAUGCAUAGCCGACCUGAGAGGGUGAUCGGCCACACUGGAACUGAGACACGGUCCAGACUCCUACGGGAGGCAGCAGUAGGGAAUCUUCCGCAAUGGGCGAAAGCCUGACGGAGCAACGCCGCGUGAGUGAUGAAGGUCUUCGGAUCGUAAAACUCUGUUAUUAGGGAAGAACAUAUGUGUAAGUAACUGUGCACAUCUUGACGGUACCUAAUCAGAAAGCCACGGCUAACUACGUG